UGUACAAGAAUGAACGAUUCCCUCCAAUGAGAAAAUAAUAGGAAAACCUAUUCCUUCAUUGAACGGAUACGGAAGAGACGAGCGAUUAACAAAAUCGCACAUAUAGGUCUCCGGCCAGCUUUUUCCCCAGAUAACUGCUCUUCUUCCCCAGGUUUCAAGAUUGUUGCAGAACUCAUUCUUCUCCUUCAAUUUCUUGUCUUUAUCGGCAAAACAAUCUGCUUACCAGUAAAGUGUAGAAAAGAAAAGAAUAUCUUGAACGUCAUGGACAAUCCUAGAAAUAAAAGAUGGAUGCAUUGUGAUAGAGUUAGUAAAGAAUAUUUGGAUGGAGUAGAUGAUUUUAUAAACCAUGCCUUUUCUGACAUAACGGACCUAUGAAAAUUUUCAGAACUGGAUUCCGACCCCGAUAUCAAAAAGUCAACUCCCCAGUCA